CAUAGUAGUCUUGAUUGUGUUACUUCCCUUUGUUCUGAUUUAUAAACCUGAUAGGUGGCUCUAAUUUCAGGUCAAUAUAAUCAUUCGAAUUUUGUUACUCAUUUUUUUUUCACAUCCAUUGUAUUUUUUUUUUAAAAAUUGUUGUUAUACUAGACCAUAAAAAGGAACAAUGUUAGUAUUUCAAUUAAAUAAAUUGAAAAAAAUAAUGGAAACUUGAUGAAUUUCAAGACGAGGCUACAACAACGAUUUGUUUUCAAAUUCAAACAAAGACAAAGGAAGGACAUUAUGCACAUCAUAGAAGACAACUCGCAUAGUGAAAAACUGACACUUAAUUUUUGUGUGAUGACAAUUAGCUGAUAAGAUUGUAUACAUGAAAAACAGUCGACAGAAAACCCCAUUUGGACAUAAAAGAAUGAUAAGUGCAUGAAAUUAAGUUUCAAGGGAAAAAAACAAGUUGAACCUCAAAACAAGUUUGACACAGUGUCUUCGUAGAUGAAAAUAAUCAAGAUCCAGUGGUGGACGUUUAGUAUACCAGAAUUAUUCACAUGGAGGAGUAUAUCUCCAAAUGUAAUACUUUUAAGUUAGUUUUGAAAGAAUAAAGAUAAAAAAUACUUACUUUCUUUAAAUGUGAAUAUUUAUUUAUUGUUUUGUGUGUUACACUUAAUUUUGACAGAAAGGAAUAUUUUCCCUCACUUAUCCGAUUUGUUACUGAUGAAAUCAACAAGAAAGCUUUAUUUUCCAUGAUUUCCAUUUUCUAUGAGUUAUUUAAAAGAAAACCUUUUUAAACAUGUUGUAAACAUGAAUACUUUAAUUGACAUAUAUUGUAAUAGUUAAUGUAUACUGUAGACCUUUAAAUGAAAAUGAUUUGUUGACUGUUGUUUGUUAUAAUUUUGGAUUACAAAAUGUGUAUUAUUGUAUUGACUGAAAGAGGUCUGAUAAAUGUUGAACUUCAAUUUUGAAAAGCCAUGUAGCUCUUAUUUUUAAUUUUAAUAGUUUAUAUACAAUUUAUAAAUAUCAAACUUUAUUUUAUUACCACUAUAAAUGAUUAAAAGUGAGUCAUUUUUGUGACGUUAUACAAA